UCAAUAAUUAAUAUAAUAAUUAUGAUGCUAGGAAACCAAAUAUUCAAGUUUCGAUAUUGAAAAAUGUUCUAAUUAUGUUUAGGAAGGGUUUGAAGCUCCCUAAUGUUGUUGAAAAUUCAAUAUGAAUUGAUAUGAGUCUAUAUUGGUUGUUGUUAGGUGGAGAAUUCUCCGUAGGCGACUUUUGAAUUAUUAAAGUGGUCUUGCAGUUUGUUUACACAAGUCUCUAAGGAUCAAUAAGCAUUGUCCAUCUGCAGGUUUGAAGAUGUUGCAUCAUUGGGAUCGGGAAUAGAGAGCUUGUAUUUAGUUUUGAUUUGCUAAGUUGACUUGGGUUUGCUUAAUUGGACUUUAAACUUGUCAUACUAUUUAUAUUUCCUUAUUUUCGUUGGUUGAUUUUUGGGACUAAACCUGUAAUCGAUUAUUUAUAAACCUAAAGUUAGUUUUA